rnacentral:hammerhead_ribozyme from 1 species
AUCCUGCUGACGAGUCCAAAAUAGAAUGAAAUGCACGUCCUGAAU